rnacentral:rRNA from 1 species
CCUACGGGUGGCAGCAGUGAGGAAUAUUAGUCAAUGGACGAGAGUCUGAACCAGCCAAGUAGCGUGAAGGAUGACUGCCCUAUGGGUUGUAAACUUCUUUUAUAAAGGAAUAAAACGAGGCACGUGUGCCUUUUUGCAUGUACUUUAUGAAUAAGGAUCGGCUAACUCCGUGCCAGCAGCCGCGGUAAUACGGAGGAUCCGAGCGUUAUCCGGAUUUAUUGGGUUUAAAGGGAGCGUAGAUGGGUUGUUAAGUCAGUUGUAAAAGUUUGCGGCUCAACCGUAAAAUUGCAAUUGAUACUGGCAGUCUUGAGUACAGUUGAGGUAGGCGGAAUUCGUGGUGUAGCGGUGAAAUGCUUAGAUAUCACGAAGAACCCCGAUUGCGAAGGCAGCUUACUAAACUGUGACUGACAUUGAUGCUCGAAAGUGUGGGUAUCAAACAGGAUUAGAUACCCUUGUAGUC